rnacentral:rRNA from 1 species
GACGAACGCUGGCGGCGUGCCUAAUACAUGCAAGUCGUACGCUUCUUUUUCCACCGGAGCUUGCUCCACCGGAAAAAGAAGAGUGGCGAACGGGUGAGUAACACGUGGGUAACCUGCCCAUCAGAAGGGGAUAACACUUGGAAACAGGUGCUAAUACCGUAUAACAAUCGAAACCGCAUGGUUUUGAUUUGAAAGGCGCUUUCGGGUGUCGCUGAUGGAUGGACCCGCGGUGCAUUAGCUAGUUGGUGAGGUAACGGCUCACCAAGGCCACGAUGCAUAGCCGACCUGAGAGGGUGAUCGGCCACAUUGGGACUGAGACACGGCCCAAACUCCUACGGGAGGCAGCAGUAGGGAAUCUUCGGCAAUGGACGAAAGUCUGACCGAGCAACGCCGCGUGAGUGAAGAAGGUUUUCGGAUCGUAAAACUCUGUUGUUAGAGAAGAACAAGGAUGAGAGUAACUGU